rnacentral:lncRNA from 1 species
GUUGUACUUCAAGAGCUUGUUCAGCUUGGUCCAUAAUAAAACUUCUCAUAGCAGCGAUUUGUUCAUAAAGUUCCGCAAGGCGAAAAGGUGUACUUACCUCGUCCAUGAUUUAAUUCUGCGAUGGUGACUUACUUGGGUGAGAUGAUGGGUGGCAGAAUGUUGAUGAAGUUUGGCGAUUGGAGUAGAGAAGGUUCAGCGGCCGAAUGUUGG